rnacentral:rRNA from 1 species
ACUCCUACGGGAGGCAGCAGUGGGGAAUAUUGCACAAUGGGCGCAAGCCUGAUGCAGCCAUGCCGCGUGUGUGAAGAAGGCCUUCGGUUGUAAAGCACUUUCAGUCGUGAGGAAGGCGGGUACGUUAAUAGCGUAUUCGUUUGACGUUAGCGACAGAAGAAGCACCGGCUAACUCCGUGCCAGCAGCCGCGGUAAUACGGAGGGUGCGAGCGUUAAUCGGAAUUACUGGGCGUAAAGCGCAUGCAGGUGGUUUGUUAAGUCAGAUGUGAAAGCCCGGGGGCUCAACCUCGGAAUAGCAUUUGAAACUGGCAGACUAGAGUACUGUAGAGGGGGUAGAAUUUCAGGUGUAGCGGUGAAAUGCGUAGAGAUCUGAAGGAAUACCGGUGGCGAAGGCGGCCCCCUGGACAGAUACUGACACUCAGAUGCGAAAGCGUGGGGAGCAAACAGGAUUAGAUACCCUGGUAGGACAGUG